GCGGGCGGCGGGCGGCGGACGGAAGGCAUCACUUUGUCCGGACUCUAAUUCAAAUUGUAUUCAUCCGAUCUUCACCAAACUUGGUCAGCAGUUGCAUCUAGUUGAUAUCUAGGCCAAGUUCGAAUAUGGGUCAUGCCAGGUCAAAAACUAGGUCAUAGGGUCAAUAAGUGCAUUUUCAAAGGGGCCACUUUGUCCGGACUCUAUUUCAAAUUGUAUUCAUCCGAUCUUCACCAAACUUGGUCAGCAGUUGCAUCUAGUUGAUAUAUAGGCCAAGUUCGAAUAUGGGUCAUGCCGGGUCAAAAACUAGGUCAUAGGGUCAAUUAGUGCAUUUUCAACGGCGCCACUUUGUCCGGACUCUAAUUCAAAUUGUAUUCAUCCGAUCUUCACCAAAUUUGGUCAGAAGUUGUGUCUAGAUGAUAUGUAGGUCAAGUUCAAAUAUGGGUCAUGCCGGGUCAAAAACUAGGUCACGAGGUUACUUAGUGCAUUUCAAGCAUUUAGCAUGGUGUCCGCUCUCUAAUUGAAGUAGUUUUCAUCUGAUCUUCACCUAAUUUGGUCAGAAGUUGUGUCUAGAUGAUAUGUAGGUCAAGUUCGAACAUGGGUCAUGCCGGGUCAAAAACGAGGUCACAUAGUGCAUUUCAAGCAUUAAGCAUGUUGUCCGCUCUUUAAUUGAAGUAGUUUUCAUCUGAUCUUCACCAAAUUUAGUCAGAUGUUACAUCUAAGUGAUAUCUAGGUCAAGUUCAAAUAUGGGUCAUGCCGGGUCAAUAACUAGGUCUUGAGGACACUUUCAAGCAUUGAGCAUGGUGUCCAAAACCUUCGAACGGGCGUACCUUGUGACAGUUUGGCACUCUUGUUACUGUUUCUUCUUAUUUGCAAUAACUACUUGUGGACUAGUCAUUUAAAUUAGUUUAGUUAUAUAUUUUGAAAUGUCAUUGUCAUUAUUGGAAGUUAUAACUUAUUAAAAUGUUAAAACUU